GUCUACUGCCAUACCACCCUGAACAUGCCCAGUCUCAUUGAUAUAGGAAGCUAAGUAGGGCUGCACCUGGUUAAUACUUGGAUGGGAGAGAGACAGACUCUAGGAGCCAGAAACC
rnacentral:rRNA from 1 species